rnacentral:siRNA from 1 species
AUUGUCAGUUGCGGUUUAAUUGC